rnacentral:rRNA from 1 species
GAUGAACGCUGGCGGCGUGCCUAAUACAUGCAAGUCGAGCGAACAGAUGAGGAGCUUGCUCCUCUGACGUUAGCGGCGGACGGGUGAGUAACACGUGGAUAACCUACCUAUAAGACUGGGAUAACUUCGGGAAACCGGAGCUAAUACCGGAUAAUAUAUUGAACCGCAUGGUUCAAUAGUGAAAGACGGUUUUGCUGUCAAUUAUAGAUGGAUCCGCGCCGCAUUAGCUAGUUGGUAAGGUAACGGCUUACCAAGGCAACGAUGCGUAGCCGACCUGAGAGGGUGAUCGGCCACACUGGAACUGAGACACGGUCCAGACUCCUACGGGAGGCAGCAGUAGGGAAUCUUCCGCAAUGGGCGAAAGCCUGACGGAGCAACGCCGCGUGAGUGAUGAAGGUCUUCGGAUCGUAAAACUCUGUUAUUAGGGAAGAACAAAUGUGUAAGUAACUAUGCACGUCUUGACGGUACCUAAUCAGAAAGCCCCGGCUAACUACGUG